ensembl:lncRNA
UAAAGCCAAAAAUGUGCCAAAACAACAGACACGGCGUUUCUAUUUGCUACAAGCUGCUGGAGUUGCACAGUCGCCUCAGGAUUGGAGUUUUCCUUCACAAUGUGGAUUGGAUAGUCAUGUGACAAUAAACAUGGUAGUGCGUUUUAAAGGCACAGUACAUAAAGUACAGGGUGGCUUGGUGGGUGCAGCGUAUUAAUGACUUUAAAAACAAAAAAAAAUGAAACAAUUAAUUAAUUCAUUGCCCAGCUCUAAUACUUAAUACACAUUACUGUGUCAAAAAUAUCAUUUAUACUAGUUCAGCGAGCUAGACACAAGGUCAGAAAGAGAAUUGGAGCUAUUUGGCUAAGAUUACUGCAGAGUUGGCUCUUUUCCUUACAUACCAGUGUCUCUUCUUGUCUCCCACCCAUAAUCACAUCAAAGAAAAGCAGCUGCUGACACACUGAGAAGGUUGGAAAUGAAGCCGUCCAAAGCACAGAUGUAAACUAAACUAUAUUCAUAGCUGUGUGCAGUCAGCAUUUUUAUAGCUCCCACUGCCUCUCAUGGGUCCAUGGGUGGGUUACACAAAUGGGUUACAGAAUCUGUGGGAGGCUAUGUCUCUGUGUUUGCCCAUGUGUUACUCAGUUCUUUGCAUUAACAGUAAUUAACCAGCAAGUAGACAAAGAGUAUAACAAUGAUGAUGGGAAAGGACCAAUGAGGUGCCGGGGGAUAAGAAGAGGGGGGAAAAGGAGUUUAGAAGUUAAGAGGUUAGGAGAAUGACACAAACGGUAGCGAACGGUGGGGGGGAAGAGUAGUGAUCAAAGGUGUGUGGUUGUUCUGGGUAAGUGCGGUGUAAUAUAAAUACAUUAUAUGGUGUGUUGUUGUGUCAAGAUCAUUUGAAAUUGUUCUGUGUGUAAGAGAUGGCAAAUUAAAUCACUUACAGUUGUCAAAGCAACUUUUUCGUGUUUUGGUUUUUUGGUUUGUUUUUAUUUUUUAAAGUUGGAAUAGAAGAAAAUCAUUUUAUCUAUCUAUUUAUUUCUUGUUUAUUUCUUAUUUUAUUGUUUCUUGUUUGGUUUUCACCACUGAAUUGCACGCUCAUUUGAAUGAGCUCAGGUGUCAGACUCAUCCAAUGCAGAAUUUUCCAUUUCCACCUGAGGCGCUUUCAUGGAAUGCUUUUGCUCAUUGUCUGCAUUAUACUGAGAAGCUCUAUCAAAUAUAUCUACUGUAAUUGGUUAAACCUGAGGAGAAAGAAUCCAUACAAAUUGUAGAAUUUAUCCUAGUUCUAGUUUUCUUCUUUUCAAAUCAUUUAUAAAUACCAGAGGCCCAGUGUCACUGGAAACCGAGCAUGCCAUGCACUUUUUUUCUCAGAUCUUACCGUUAUGUUACAUAUAUCUGCACACCCACAUUUUGGUUCAUCUUUGCAUCAUCUGUUGAAAGAAUAUAGUUUCACAGCUGGGGUGCACAGGAAGGACCCUGCAAUUAUCUAUGACUGUUUCUUCACUGAACACUCAGGCCUUUUGUGUUCCUGAGAUCACCAGUGCUUUCUUUCUCAGAAUGUAAGAACUGGCCACAUUUAAUGUUCCCAAUGUUCUCUCUAUGAUGGUUUAUAUUGUGUUGCAGUCUGAGUAUGUUUCACUUGCAUUAAGAGCUCCUUGCUUCCAAAUUAUACCCUUUGACUCAUCUCCAAU